UUCCGGUUGAUCCCGCCGGAGGUCAUUGCUAUCGGAGUCCGAUUUAGCCAUGCUAGUCGUGCGAGUUCACACUCGCGGCACCGAGCUCAGUAACACGUGGCCAAACUACCCUACAGAGACGGAUACCCUCGGGAAACUGAGGCUAACCCGUCAUACCGAUCUCAGGCUUGAAUCGCAGAGAUCACCAAAUGCCCCGGCGCUGUAGGAUGUGGCUGCGGUUGAUUAGGUUGACGGUGGGGUAACGGCCCACCGUGCCCAUAAUCAGUACAGGUUGUGAGAGCAAGAACCUGGAGACGGAAUCUGAGACAAGAUUCCGGGCCCUACGGGGCGCAGCAGGCGCGAAACCUUUACACUGCACGACAGUGCGAUAGGGGGAUUCCGAGUGCGAGGGCAUACAGUCCUCGCUUUUCUGGACCGUAAGGAGGUCCAAGAAUAAGGGCUGGGCAAGACCGGUGCCAGCCGCCGCGGUAAUACCGGCAGCCCGAGUGAUGGCCGAUAUUAUUGGGCCUAAAGCGUUCGUAGCCGGCCGGACAAGUCUGUUGGGAAAUCCACGUGCUCAACGCGUGGGCGUCCAGCGGAAACUGUCUGGCUUGGGGCCGGAGGACUCGAGGGGUACGUCCGGGGUAGGAGUGAAAUCCCGUAAUCCUGGACGGACCACCGGUGGCGAAAGCGCCUCGAGAAGACGGACCCGACGGUGAGGAACGAAAGCCAGGGUCUCGAACCGGAUUAGAUACCCGGGUAGUCCUGGCCGUAAACAAUGUCUGCUAGGUGUGGCACAGGCUACGAGCCUGUGCUGUGCCGCAGGGAAGCCGUGAAGCAGACCGCCUGGGAAGUACGUCCGCAAGGAUGAAACUUAAAGGAAUUGGCGGGGGAGCACUACAACCGGAGGAGCCUGCGGUUUAAUUGGAUUCAACGCCGGG
rnacentral:rRNA from 1 species